UACGAAGGGGGACUAGCGUUGUUCGGAUUUACUGGGCGUAAAGCGCGCGUAGGCGGAUCGCUAAGUCAGGGGUGAAAUCCCAGGGCUCAACCCUGGAACUGCCUUUGAUACUGACGAUCUGGAGAUCGGGAGAGGUGAGUGGAAUUCCGAGUGUAGAGGUGAAAUUCGUAGAUAUUCGGAGGAACACCAGAAGCGAAGGCGGCUCACUGGCCCGAUACUGACGCUGAGGCGCGAAAGCGUGGGGAGCAACAGG
rnacentral:rRNA from 1 species